AUGCGUGCUGGCCCUCGGCGCACACGCUGGUCCUUGGAUGCGUGCUGUCCUCUGGACCCAGGCUGGCUCUCCAGGCACACGCCGUCCCUCCGGGUGCACRCUGUCUCCCCCUGGAUGCACACUCUCCCCCCGGAUGCAUACUGUCCCUGUGGAUGUAUGCUGUCCCUCCGGACACACGCUGUCCUCCCAGAUGCAAGCUGUCCCUCUGGAUACAUGCUGUCCUUCCAGACACAUGCUGUCCUUCCGGAUGCAUGGUGGCCCCCAGAAGCAUGCAGUCCCUCAGGAUGUGUGCUGUCUUUCCGGACAUAUGCAGUCCCUCCAGACACAUGCUGUCCCCCCGGAUGCAUGCUGUCCCUCUGGACACAUGCUGUUCUUCGGGACACAUGCUGUCCCCCCAGAUGCAUGCUGACCCUCCGGAUGCAUGCUGUUUCCCUGGAUGCAUGCAGUCCUUCCAGACACCUUCUGUCCCCCCAGAUGCAUGCUGUCCCCCCAGAUGCCCACAGCCCCUCCAGACACACACGAUCCCUCCGGACGCAUGCUGUUCCCCUGGCUGUAUCCCGCCUCUCGUCCCGCCGAGCGUGCGGAGGCCACGCUCUGCCCGCUGUGUGCAGGACCCUGCUUGCACGGGCAGCGAGGCCGGGUGCAUGCCCAACCUGCGGCCAGGCAGGAGCACAGCGGGCCGUGGCGGGCGGCCCUGCCUGCGGCUCGGCUCCGGCGAUGGGAACCGAUGGGAAUACGCUGCCGGGGAGCAGAGCGCAGCGUGCCGUCGCGCUCUCCCCUCUAAUUACGGCUGGCUCCCCGACCGCGGCUCGGGGCUGGAGGGGCUGGCAGCUGCCUCCCCUUCCCGCCCGGAGCYGCUCCGAGCUCCACGCUGUCUCCAUAGAGAUCUCCUUAGGGCUUCAUGACUUAUUCAUCGCCUGGUGCCGCGGCACCGGCGUUCGCUCAGCCAGGCCCCUCCGUUUUCGAGUUAAAAAUAUAGCCGUCGCGAUGAUAGCAAUAAAAACAGCAGCGAAACCUUGCUUGGACCCGGGAAGCGCCGCCGGCCCCGCGGGCGGAUGAGCUGCCCGCGAUUGCAGCCUGCUGCAAGGGCACCCGCUGCCGCACGCUCGGGUACCGGACCGGGUGCCCGGACACCUGGGCCCCUUUCUCGCUCCUAGUUCGUGGUGCACCUGGGGAAAUUCGGUUGCAUCCUUUUGUGCCUGGUUUCCCGCGUGCAAACCGGGGCUCGCAGCACGCUCCUCCGUCGGCGAGAGCGGGAGCAUCAGCAGAUGCAGCCGUGACGGAUUCCCGGCCUCCAGCGCGGCAGCRGGAGCCGUCCCGGGUUCGCCCGCCGGCCCCUUCCGCCUGCGCAGCCCUGUGCCCCAGCAAAUCAUCCCCUUAUCUCCAGGUAGAGGAGUUUUAAUGGAUCUGAGCAUCGUCGGCCGCCCUCGCGCCGCUUUGCUCUUCCCGCAGGCAGCAGCGGGGCCGGAGCUGCCUCGCGGGGCCGGAUUUAGAUUUCGGCAAGUGAUUAGCUCCGUUUUUCUGUCGCAAAUUCUCUCUCUUGAAUAACUCCCUGAACCCGUGAGAUCGCUGCCGCAGGCGCCAAGGUGGCCAGGGGGACGGCGGUGCCCAGGCGCUUGCACCCGCCACGCGUUUCCCACGCAGAGAGGGCGGACGAUGCGCCCCGUGUGCGAUAGUUCGGGUGACAGCGCUGUUCACCUGCCGCUGCCCCUGCAGCCGCCGCUUGUGGUUUGUAUUCUAAAAAACCAUAAGGUUUCCCGGUCUGGGCAUUUAAAAAAAACCAACCCGAAAUCCAUGUUUCUGCCGAGAAAYGGCUGUUUCUCUAGAAACUUCUUUUCAUUUUAUUUUAGAUGCUUUUUUUCUGUUUUGCAAAGUCAGAGGUCUGGAAGAAAGCAAAGUGUUUGCUGUACGGAAAUGACACACUUGUAUUUCCAUGGUUUCCGCGCGCUAGCAAUGCUGCUGGCAAUAACGCGCGGUGAGCGUGGAGGAAAGGAGGCUUUGGAGGUUCCCAAGAGCUAAAAAUUCGGGGGUUCGUCCGGCUCAGGGGCUCGUCGCUGCC
ensembl:lncRNA